rnacentral:rRNA from 1 species
AUUGAACGCUGGCGGCAUGCUUUACACAUGCAAGUCGAACGGUAACAGGGAGCUUGCUCCGCUGACGAGUGGCGAACGGGUGAGUAAUGCAUCGGAACGUACCGUGUAAUGGGGGAUAACGUAGCGAAAGUUACGCUAAUACCGCAUACGCCCUGAGGGGGAAAGUGGGGGACCGCAAGGCCUCACGUUAUACGAGCGGCCGAUGUCGGAUUAGCUAGUUGGUGGGGUAAAGGCCUACCAAGGCGACGAUCCGUAGCGGGUCUGAGAGGAUGAUCCGCCACACUGGGACUGAGACACGGCCCAGACUCCUACGGGAGGCAGCAGUGGGGAAUUUUGGACAAUGGGGGCAACCCUGAUCCAGCCAUGCCGCGUGAGUGAAGAAGGCCUUCGGGUUGUAAAGCUCUUUCAGGUGGAAAGAAAUCUCCCGGGUGAAUACCCUGGGAGGAUGACGGUACCAUCAGAAGAAGCACCGGCUAACUACGUGCCAGCCGCCGCCGUAAUAC